UAUCCCCCCUGUGUGCCUUGUACGACUUACUACGCACUCCUACGGGAGGCAGCAGUGGGGAAUAUUGCACAAUGGGCGCAAGCCUGAUGCAGCCAUGCCGCGUGUAUGAAGAAGGCCUUCGGGUUGUAAAGUACUUUCAGCAGUGAGGAAGGUGGAUAUGUUAAUAGCAUAUUCAUUUGACGUUAGCUGCAGAAGAAGCACCGGCUAACUCCGUGCCAGCAGCCGCGGUAAUACGGAGGGUGCGAGCGUUAAUCGGAAUUACUGGGCGUAAAGCGCAUGCAGGUGGUUUGUUAAGUCAGAUGUGAAAGCCCGGGGCUCAACCUCGGAAUUGCAUUUGAAACUGGCAAACUAGAGUACUGUAGAGGGGGUAGAAUUUCAGGUGUAGCGGUGAAAUGCGUAGAGAUCUGAAGGAAUACCGGUGGCGAAGGCGGCCCCCUGGACAGAUACUGACACUCAGAUGCGAAAGCGUGGGGAGCAAACAGGAUUAGAUACCCUGGUAG
rnacentral:rRNA from 1 species